rnacentral:lncRNA from 1 species
AGUUAUCAACUUCUGUCUUUAGAGUGUGCUCAGGCUGGACAAAUGAGUAAAAGCAAACUUAUCUAUAUUGGAAGAAAACCAAAAUAACAAAGUUCAUCAGACCCAGUAAGACAUGAAUGCAUAUAGCCUCAUUAGUAAUUAAUAAAAGCAUUUAUCAGUACCAUCUCAAGAGUAGGUUGCAAGUGGCACAUAUCCACCAUUAAUAAUGCAUAUCACAACUUAAGAGACAACUCAAUUAUACCUGUAGGUUAUUCAACGAGAAAAGGUUACAACAAAAAUGACAGAAAAAGGGAGUAUAUACCAAAAGCAGAUGGAAGCUGGACGUCGAGAUCAGACAUGAAACUUGCUUGUUAAGUUUGAUUAGUCCCCAAACAGAUCAGUGGGUUUCACUAGUCGGUCUGGGUGUAUGAGCUGCAAAGCAUAAUACUGUUUCAAUCAGUCACUGAGUAUGUAGAGUCAUGAUUCAUGGAAGGCAUUAAAUUUUUUUAAAUGGACAACUCAAGUCAAUCAUCCAAUAUUAAGCAUACAGGCCAACCAAUAUUCACAACAAAUGUAAGAUGCUCAUAUUAACUUAAAAACAGUAAAAUAACACAUAAGAACAAAACUAACAAGAUAAUACCUAUCUGAACAAUCAAGGAACUAUCUUGUGAUAAUAAAUGAUAAUUAGGCUGAAUGGACAUUGAAGACAAUCGGUAUUCUACAUAGCUAACUGAUGGAGGUGCUCUUGGGUUCAUAACUAAGGGCAGAUAUAGAACAAUGGCAGGGAAAGAAACUAGAGAGUUCAGAGUUAAUCAAAUGAAAAAUUCUGUGAUGAGGUUGCAAAAGGGACCAAACUAUUUCCCUAAUUGGUUUGUUUUAAUGGGCUAGAAAGGCAUAUGGUACAAUUAAAACGUGACUUCACCUACACAGUGUAACAACUUGCCUAAUAUCUCUUAUCUGAUAACUACAGAUAACCACAACCAAAACUCAGCUCAUUAACAAACAGGUCUCAACUCUCAGGAGAAGGCUGCCUUCUAAAACUGGUUUAGUGCGCGCAAACUCCCAAUUCUCGUUCAGUUUAAUAUCCACACCAUUUCACAGGCUACAACUGGAGAUGUAAAUUCAGCCUGGGAGUUCCUAAAUUUCAAGACAAUUUGCACGCAGCGUCUAUUAUACUAAGAUAACUACCCCAAAUCAUACCACCAAACCAUCACUACAAGGAUAACAAAACGCGGAAUCGGAUCGAAUCUCAAACCCUAAGGGGUGAGGUGUCCCCCAAAAUCGAACAAUCUGAAGUUCAAAUCGACCCGGCCAACCCAAUCGGCACCCCUCCCCGAACCCAAGCACUCGGUAGGAGCAAAAAAUCCCCACCUCAACAAACCAACCCAUCAAUUCCACCAAACAACCCCCGAGAUCCGCUCGGUUCGGAGCGAGAUUAUGACCGCGCAAUACGACCUACCACAGAUCAAUCACGAGACGGAGGAGCCCAUCAACAAAACCUCCACAAAUCUAAGCUCGGAAACACGGAAAAUAAUCUGGGAAGAGCAGGGAGGAGGUGACCUUGGUUGGUGGCACGGCCGGCGAACGGAAAGCGAGGCGAGCGACGGGAGCGGAGGAGGGGAAAGGUGAAUAGGUGAUGCAACGACUUGACUUCGGGAACCGCGUCCUCCCUGUUUCUGGGUCCUUCGGUUCC